UGGGGAAUAUUGGACAAUGGGCGAAAGCCUGAUCCAGCCAUGCCGCGUGAGUGACGAAGGCCUUAGGGUUGUAAAACUCUUUCGUCGGGGACGAUAAUGACGGUACCCGAAGAAGAAGCUCCGGCUAACUUCGUGCCAGCAGCCGCGGUAAUACGAAGGGAGCUAGCGUUGUUCGGAAUCACUGGGCGUACAGCGCACGUAGGCGGAUAGUUAAGUCAGGGGUGAAAUCCUGGGGCUCAACCCCAGAACUGCCUUUGAUACUGGCUGUCUCGAGGUCGAGAGAGGUUGGUGGAAUUCCUAGUGUAGAGGUGAAAUUCGUAGAUAUUAGGAAGAACACCAGUGGCGAAGGCGGCCAACUGGCUCGAUACUGACGCUGAGGUGCGAAAGCGUGGGGAGCAAACAGGAUUAGAUACCCACGUAGUCCCUGAGCGGGCUGGCAAGGCGCAU
rnacentral:rRNA from 1 species